UAGAGUUUGAUCAUGGCUCAGAUUGAACGCUGGCGGAAUGCUUUACACAUGCAAGUCGAACGGCAGCGGGGGUGCUUGCACCUGCCGGCGAGUGGCGAACGGGUGAGUAAUGCAUCGGAACGUGUCCUUAAGUGGGGAAUAACGCAUCGAAAGAUGUGCUAAUACCGCGUAGUCUCUGAGGAGUAAAGCAGGGGAUCGAAAGACCUUGCGCUUAAGGAGCGGCCGAUGUCUGAUUAGCUAGUUGGUGGGGUAUAAGCC
rnacentral:rRNA from 1 species